rnacentral:rRNA from 1 species
CGUCGCUGCGUCAGCGAAUGACCGGAGUCGUGGGAGCAUUGGCGCGUGUGCUACGAGUCGACUGGGGAUUCAGUCCUCGGGCCAGGCGAACCAUCUAUGCCGGACUCAUGGAGCCCUGUGCUCUGUUUGGUGCCUCGGUAUGGUAUGUCGUGACGACGAGGCAAGUUGUAGCCAGGAGCGACUUCUUGCCUGCCAGAGGCUGAUCCUUUAGGAUGCCUCCCGGUAUGCCGCACAGUGUCACCUGGCGCUGCAGGUACUUGCUGGAGCCCCGCCUCUUGACUUGGCUGCUAUGAAAGUAGCAGUCAAGUACAAGUUGAAGCGUGGAUACCCGUUGGAGGAGGACGACUGGCUCUAUGGCGAGGACAUUUCAGGUCUGAGCUGGACACAACGAAUUGCGCGAGUAAACGAAUGCCUCCUGUCGGACUGGCAGAGCAGAUGGGAUGAUGGUGAUUCGCUCGGUCGGGUGACUCACAAGUUCAUCCCGGAUGCAGGGUUCGUUUACCGGAAUCGGAAUUUCGGUUUUUCGAUGCGCGCAGGAUUCCUGAUGACAGGGCAUGGGUCGUUCAAUGCAUUUCUGCAUAGAAGAGGCCUCAGUGAUUCCCCCGCAUGUUCAUGUGGCGAUCCAAACGAGGACUGGGAGCAUAUCUUAUGUGCUUGCCCCCUCUAUGCAGACUUGCGAGACCUCGAUGGACUCGGUUUGCAGCACGUUGGCGGAAGCUGGACAUUUGGAAGGAUUCUGGAGAGCAGCGACAGGACCAGGAGACUCGCAGAGUUUGCUGAGGAGGUGUUUCGGAGAAGAAGGGGCCGUUAGGGUCCAUAUCCCUUGCCGUGUGGUUAGUCGGCGUAGAAUACUGCCUCAGUUCGCCAUAGCUUGUCGUAAGAGGCGACUAACAUGGCAGGGCCCCCCAUCCGAGCUUGUCGGAGCUAAAGGGGUGGGUCACCGAGCCCACAAACUUCGGUACCACGGGUUGGUAGUGCUCCAAGCACUACCAAAUGAGGUUGGCCCCCUAGUGGGAGUAUCGUGGUGGCUGUGGUUGAUACCUACAUCGCGGGUAGAAUCUUCAGAUUCGACGUGGAGUUGCGUUAUACAACUCGGGUGCUGUGACCCAUAGAGCAGCAGAGGUGAUAGAUACACCUCGCCUCCCUCCGGAGGGAGUAUGUUGCCCGACACAAACAAAGCACAUACUCGACAGGUACCAGAGUGGUUGCUAUGUACAUAGCUAUAGCUUCUAGUCUGGGGCGCUGGCAGGCGUACCAUCCUUGCCCAUGCACUAUAUGCCUACUUGUAGGUAUAUUCGAGUGCCGUGGUUGUAAUCCCUUCAGUGUGGAACACGCCACGUAAAAUAAGAUCGGAGAGAUCCGAGACACGCCUGUCCCUAUCUACUAUCUAGCGAAACCACAGCCAAGGGAACGGGCUUGGAAUAAUUAGCGGGGAAAGAAGACCCUUUUGAGCUUGACUCUAAUCUGGCAGUGUAAGGAGACAUAAGAGGUGUAGAAUAAGUGGGAGAUAUUAGACCUCGGUUUGGUAUCGCCAAUGAAAUACCACUACUCUUAUUGUUUCCUUACAUUGCCAGGUAGGGAGUUUGACUGGGGCGGUACAUCUCUCAAAUAAUAACGGAGGUGUCCCAAGGCCAGCUCAGUGCGGACAGAAACCACACAUAGAGCAAAAGGGCAAAUGCUGACUUGAUCUCGGUGUUCAGUACACACAGGGACAGCAAAAGCUCGGCCUAUCGAUCCUUUUGGUUUAAAGAGUUUUUAACAAGAGGUGUCAGAAAAGUUACCAUAGGGCUAACUGGCUUGUGGCGGCCAAGCGUUCAUAGCGACGUCGCUUUUUGAUCCUUCGAUGUCGGCUCUUCCUAUCAUUGUGAAGCAAAAUUCACCAAGCGUUGGAUUGUUCACCCAUGCAAGGGAACGUGAGCUGGGUUUAGACCGUCGUGAGACAGGUUAGUUUUACCCUACUAAUGACAAAACGUUGUUGCGACAGCAUUCCUGCGUAGUACGAGAGGAACCGCAGGUACGGACCAAUGGCACAAUACUUGUUCGAGCGAACAGUGGUAUGACGCUACGUCCGUUGGAUUAUGCCUGAACGCCUCUAAGGUCGUAUCCGUGCUGGACUGCAAUGAUAAAGUAAGGGGCAAUUUGCUAUUGUAUGGUCUUACUAAACCUAUUUAAAGUUUAUUAAUUUACUUU